UACGGAGGGUGCAAGCGUUAUCCGGAUUCACUGGGUUUAAAGGGCGCGUAGGCGGGCAUUUAAGUCAGUGGUGAAAUACCUGAGCUUAACUUGGGAACUGCCAUUGAUACUAUUUGUCUUGAAUGUCGUGGAGGUUAGCGGAAUAUGUCAUGUAGCGGUGAAAUGCUUAGAUAUGACAUAGAACACCUAUUGCGAAGGCAGCUAACUACGCGAAUAUUGACGCUGAGGCACGAAAGCGUGGGGAUCAAACAGG
rnacentral:rRNA from 1 species